rnacentral:rRNA from 1 species
UACGAAGGGGGCUAGCGUUGCUCGGAAUCACUGGGCGUAAAGGGUGCGUAGGCGGGUCUUUUAAGUCAGGGGUGAAAUCCUGGAGCUCAACUCCAGAACUGCCUUUGAUACUGAAGAUCUUGAGUCCGGGAGAGGUGAGUGGAACUGCGAGUGUAGAGGUGAAAUUCGUAGAUAUUCGCAAGAACACCAGUGGCGAAGGCGGCUCACUGGCCCGGUACUGACGCUGAGGUGCGAAAGCGUGGGGAGCAAACA